GAUGAACGCUAGCGGCAGGCCUAAUACAUGCAAGUCGAGGGAGAAUGUUGGAUUCGUCUGACAUGAAACCGGCGCACGGGUGCGUAACACGUAUGCAACCUACCUUUAACUGGGGUAUAGCUCAGAGAAAUCUGAAUUAAUCCCCCAUAAGACUACGACAUGGCAUCAUGAUGUAGUUAAAGCUCCGGCGGUUAAGGAUGGGCAUGCGGUACAUUAGCUAGUUGGUGAGGUAAUGGCUCACCAAGGCUACGAUGUAUAGGGGGUCUGAGAGGAUGAUCCCCCACACUGGUACUGAGACACGGACCAGACUCCUACGGGAGGCAGCAGUAGGGAAUAUUGGUCAAUGGACGCAAGUCUGAACCAGCCAUGCCGCGUGAAGGAUGAAGGCCCUAUGGGUCGCAAACUUCUUUUAUUAGGGAAGAAAAAACGGGAUGCGUCUUGUACUGACGGUACUUAAUGAAUAAGGAUCAGCUAACUUCGUGCCAGCCGCCGCAGUAA
rnacentral:rRNA from 1 species